CAAGUGCCUCACACAUGCACCCGACAUCGAUUUUGUGCUACCAAGUGCCGCUGAUCCUCUUGCAUUGUAUAAACUAUGAAAUUUCUAUUUAUGUUUCAAGCAUCUGUAAAACAUCUUCUUUUUUUUAUCAAAGAGUCCCUUGCUCUCACUUUUGCUAGAGUGCUCUUUCUUCAUUAUCCAAGAUCCAUACACCAAUUUCAAGUUUGGACUUUUGAAGUGCAUAGACAAAGACUUUUGAGUAAAUUACUAAUCUCAGUGGCUAUUUAAUCUACGGUAGGCAUUGGGGCAAUUUGAAGCUAUUUCUGCUUCAAUACCUUCAAAUAGCAGCUAAUUCUUUUAUGCAAGGGAAUCUUUGGGAUGAAUGAUGCUGGUCACUAAAAAAACUUCUUAUCUUGAGGAUUUUUGGUUAUUUGAAUCCUCUGCCCACAUUCCAACUGGAGGGACUUGCAGUAUUAUUCGGCACCUUCAUUUCAAGUCCAAACUCCUAGUGGUACAACAAGACAAAGGAAGAUUGAGGGAAUGGCAAGUCUCUAGUAGUUUCAUUUUUUCCCCCUUAAGCUAAAGUAUU